AGCAUGGUGUAGUGGUUUGACUGUUGGACUAUGAUUCUAGAGACCUGAGUUCAAUUCCCAGCUGGGCCA